rnacentral:rRNA from 1 species
UACGUAGGGCGCAAGCGUUAUCCGGAAUUAUUGGGCGUAAAGAGCUCGUAGGCGGUUUGUCGCGUCUGCCGUGAAAGUCCGGGGGCUCAACUCCGGGAUCUGCGGUGGGUACGGGCAGACUAGAGUGAUGUAGGGGAGACUGGAAUUCCUGGUGUAGCGGUGAAAUGCGCAGAUAUCAGGAGGAACACCGAUGGCGAAGGCAGGUCUCUGGGCAUUAACUGACGCUGAGGAGCGAAAGCAUGGGGAGCGAACAGG